UUGGUCAUUUAGAGGAAGUAAAAGUCGUAACAAGGUCUCCGUUGGUGAACCAGCGGAGGGAUCAUUAAAGAGUGUAAUAACUCCCAAACCCAUGUGAACAUACCUCAUGUUGCCUCGGCAGGUCGCGCCUCCCUCGUAGGCCCUACCCCGUAGGCUCCUACGCGGAAGGCGCGGGUACCCCUGCCGGUGGCCCACGAAACUCUGUCUCAUCGUUGAAUUCUGAACCUAUAACUAAAUAAGUUAAAACUUUCAACAACGGAUCUCUUGGUUCUGGCAUCGAUGAAGAACGCAGCGAAAUGCGAUAAGUAAUGUGAAUUGCAGAAUUCAGUGAAUCAUCGAAUCUUUGAACGCACAUUGCGCCCAUUAGUAUUCUAGUGGGCAUGCCUGUUCGAGCGUCAUUUCAACCCUUAAGCCCUUGUUGCUUAGCGUUGGGAGCCUACGGCACCGUAGCUCCCCAAAGUCAGUGGCGGAGCCGGCUCACACUCUAGACGUAGUAAUUACUCACCUCGCCUAUAGUUGGACCGGUCCCCUGCCGUAAAACGCCCCAGUAUCUAAAAGGUUGACCUCGAAUCAGGUAGGAAUACCCGCUGAACUUAAGCAUAUCAAUAAGCGGAGGA
rnacentral:rRNA from 1 species